CCUGUCCUGAGCCAGGGCAAUGGACUAAGGGAGUCCUGGACCACCUAGAUUGAAGACUAAACCCCAUCUCUCUGGUGGGGACAGCAGGAUGCUCAGCAGCACCUCUAACAUCCAUUCUCCUACUGAGAUGCCUGGACCAUUCACACAUUCCAAGGAGCCAAGAGAGGAACUGGCUUCAAGCAUCUGCCUCACUUCCCUUCGCCCUCAUUGAUUGGCUGGGGCCCACUGCCCAGAGCUCAUUUAGCAGACGGACCAUGGUCCUAAUAAGGAUCAUCUGUGCAGACAGGUGGAGCAGUGCUAACCCAAGUGGCCUCCAGGAGAGCUGUGAAAGUCAGGAGCCUCGUGGAGCUGGCAAGUCCAACAAGAUGAUUGCGCCUCCAAAAAUAGUGCUUGAAGUAUCUAGAUGAAGCAGGGAAUAGAGUGCCAGCCCUGGAGUCAAGAAGACUCGUAUUCCUGAGUUCAAAUUCCUCCUCAGUCACUUAUUAGCUGUGUGACCCUGGGUAAGUCACUUCACCCUGUUUGCCUUAGUCUCCUCAUCCAUCAAAUGAGUUGGAGAAGAAAUGGCAAACCACUCCAGAAUCUUUGCCAAGAAAACCCCCAAUAUGAGGUCAAGAGAGACAGAUACAACGGAGAUGACUAAACAUCAAUAUUGCCCAGUACUUAUCACAAUGCCUGGCACAUAGUAGGUCUUUAAUAAAUGUUUAUUGAUUGACA
rnacentral:lncRNA from 1 species